AACUAUAGUAUAAAGAAAGCACAUCUUUAAUGAAUGGUAAUAAACCCAUACUGUUGCUUACGCGGAGCAUGUUAAAUGAGUAAAAAGGCAACUGUAAAUCUUUCAGCAUACGAACUCUGAAGCGAACGCUCAGCACACUUGGUCUGAGGCGUCGUUUGGGCUGUAUAGAUCAUGAAAGAGUUAUAAGGGCUAUUCAGAAUGAGCUGCAAGGUAGUGGUACCUGUCUUGGUUACAGAAGCAUGACUGAACGCCUAAGAAAUGUUCAUGGUCUCAGAGUACCAAGGCAUAUGGUCAUGGAGAUACUGACGAUUGUCGACCCAACGUUUUUCAAGACGACUGUACAGUAACAAGGGACCCAAGUAUCUUGUACACAUAGAUGGCUACGACAAGAUUACACCAUUUGGUUUUGCUAUUCACGGCGCUAUUU